UGGGGAAUAUUGGACAAUGGGCGAAAGCCUGAUCCAGCCAUGCCGCGUGUGUGAAGAAGGUCUUCGGAUUGUAAAGCACUUUAAGUUGGGAGGAAGGGCAUUAACCUAAUACGUUAGUGUUUUGACGUUACCGACAGAAUAAGCACCGGAUAACUCUGUGCCAGCAGCCGCGGUAAUACAGAGGGUGCAAGCGUUAAUCGGAAUUACUGGGCGUAAAGCGCGCGUAGGUGGUUUGUUAAGUUGGAUGUGAAAUCCCCGGGCUCAACCUGGGAACUGCAUUCAAAACUGACUGACUAGAGUAUGGUAGAGGGUGGUGGAAUUUCCUGUGGAGCGGUGAAAUGCGUAGAUAUAGGAAGGAAC
rnacentral:rRNA from 1 species